UUCCCCAACUAGUUUGGGAUAAAGGACGCUGUUGGGUUGAGUUGAAUUGAGUUGCUUCUCUUCAGUUGUUCCAGUAUAUGUUUUGGGGUAACCACUUCAACUUGGAUGCAACAUAAGUUGAAAUUGCAAUGAAUUUAUGAUCAUCACAGAUUAUUUGGUUCUAUUUUACAUGAAGCUGUAGCUGAUUGAUUAAAAUUGUAUGUGUUUGACGCAGGGGCGGAACCAACAACUCAUAUCGGGAGGGGCAAAAUAUCUACGAAAAAACAUAUUAUUAAUUAAAUAAUCAAUUAUGUUUGUAAAUAUACAAAAAUAUAAAAAUCUGUUUUAGUAAAAAUGUUAUACACACACACACAUUGAUUGUUGAAAAUUUCAUCUAUUUUAAAACAGUGGUAUAUUUAAGACAUUUUCAAAUUUAAAGCUAAAAUAAAUUCAAUUAAUUUUAAACAAAUAAUUACAAAAAUUGUAAACUAACUAAAAAAUAUUACUAAUUAUAAGAUUUAUUGUUAGUAAAAGUUAUA
rnacentral:lncRNA from 1 species